CAAGAAGAGGAGGAGGAAUCUAGACAACUGUGCUUGCCCCUUUCACUGGCAUUUUUGGGAAAAGCAGCUGUCUGCCCCACGUGUAAGACAGGACUGGUCCUUUUUACGUUGAAAGCUUGUGGAAGCUUUUGGAAAACAAGGUUGUGGAAUAUGCCCGCAGCCAUGUGCCUUCCAGCUGAGUCACUUUAGGAAGGAGCAGGGAUGCCUUGCAAGACAUUCCUCCAGUGCAGGAGAGAGGAGCAGGUGAUAGAUAGACCCAGUUACAGGCUGAAAAGUUAAGCCUUGUGCAUGGACAGCUGUAUAGUGGAAACAUGGGUCAAAUAGGAGUUGAAGAGGUUAAUAAGGAGUAAGGGAUGAAAGGCAAGGUCAGCAAGCCGCCUGUCUGCAAGGGCUCCCAGCAGAGCAGGAGAUGGCUGACGUGAAAGCCACCGCUCCGAGCUGCAUGGGGGUACAGAGGACACCUGAAAGCGUUCCAACAGGAAAAAAGAAAGCUGGAAGGACCCAGAGGUUUAAGCAGGUCUGGUACCGGGAAACCUGAUAAUCCUGCAUGUAACAUAUACGCUGGGGAAGAAGCAGACCCUGUAAAUCCCCCUUGCCAGCUCUGCUCUAGAGAUGUAACAGGCUCAUUUCUGCUGGGGAGGUUAGCCUCUGCAACACGAGGUAGGAGGGCACUCAAAUCCAGCCAGGAAAGGGAAUCACAGUAAUGACACUUAUUGAUAUUGAUUC
rnacentral:lncRNA from 1 species